ensembl:lncRNA
CUCCCGCCCGCGCCCCCUCCUCCCGCCUCCUCCCUCCGCCCUCCUCCUCCUAAUUCUUCCCCGCGCGCCCGGCGGGGCCGGAGAGACCGAGAGGUGGCUGCGGGGAGGCGUAACGGGGAGCCGCGGCUCGGAGCCGAGGACGCCGAGCCGGGACCGGGGAACCUGGGAAGCACACUUGAGUCACAGCUGGCCUGUGGUUUUUACAUCUCAUCAGGGACCACUCUCUUCACAGCCUUAUCUUCGCUCCUCCCCAUACAGGUGGCAGUUUUCUGAAGUUGCUCAUUGAGACUUCUCAGCAUUCCUACAGAUAUAAUAGCCACAGCAAUCCAUUCUUCCCACUGAAGAAGGCAGUAAAACAGCUUUGAAGUUCCAAGGGUUUAUUGAAAAUAUGGUGCUGGGAAGAAUAAAAGGAAAUUUAAUACCAUGGAAUCUGGAAACAACCACUGAAAUCCAGUCUUUUGAACACAUAUGAUACACUAAUUCCCAGAGAUUUAAGACAGCUCCAUUUGCUUCCUGAGGCUGUCAGGCUCCUUAUGACCAAGACACGGAAAGGUUCUUCAGCACAAAUAUGCCAUGAUGAUAUUUUAUUUACUAUGAAUAUUGACCGUACAUGAAUAUGGGAUGUCCUGGGGUUCUGCCUUCCCUUAUUGAUAUCAAGUUGGUACUCUCCUUAGAUCUGGUUCCCCCAAUACAGAUCCUGUGACAAAGAUUUAAACACAAGUAAGCUAUGGAUGUGAGAGUUGGACUGUGAAGAAGGCUGAGCGCUGAAGAAUCGAUGCUUUUGAACUGUGGUGUUGGAGAAGAUUCUUAAGAGUCCCUUGGACUGCAAGGAGAUCCAACCAGUCCAUUCUGAAGGAGAUCAGCCCUGGGAUUUCUUUGGAAGGAAUGAUGCUGACUGAAGCUGAAACUGCAGUACUUUGGCCACCUCAUGCAAAGAGUUGACUCAUUGGAAAAGACUCUGAUGCUGGGAGGGAUUUGGGGCAGGAGGAGACGGGGACGACAGAGGAUGAGAUGGCUGGAUGGCAUCACUGACUCGAUGGAUGUGAGUCUGAGUGAACUCCGGGAGUUGGUGAUGGACAGGGAGGCCUGGAGUGCUGCGAUUUGUGGGGUCGCAAAGAGUCAGACACGACUGAGCGACUGAACUGAAGCUACCUGGGAGCUUAUCCUGAAAAGCAUUUUUAGGGGCCUAGGCACGUGAGGCAGGGAGAAGAAAGCCAAGAAAAGGGUGCUCUUGAGCAGGUUGCUCAAUCCCUGGUGAAUUCUAAGAAACAGUCUUCAGAAACAUCCCAUCUGAGGGGCCGGAACACUUGCACACGUCUCCUCCAGCCCAUAUGUGUCCUUGCGAGCUGCUCCCGAGGCCGGAGGUUAAGCUCUGUGUCUUGCAGGGGUCAGAAGAAAACCCUCAGGGGAAGGCCCCGAGUCCUUGCUGUGUGCAUGUGUGGGAGAGGGUGCUGAGGCGGGUACGACCAGGGCACCAACUGUGUGUGCUGCUUUAACCUUCUUUUUCUUGUUGUUAGAACAACUCAGCAAAAUAAAAUUCCAGGUUACUAGUGGACCACGUUGUUUCAUGGAUGGACUAGGUCGCUUGAGGUGGUCAGAGACAAAGCACAGGCGGAGACUGUUAGCAGAAAGUACUUAAGUCAUGUCUGUGCCUGAUUGAUGUCAGGGUGGAUUUGAAAAAUACUGGAAAUUAGCAACUUUUUGAAAUGGG